UAGCAUAUCAAUAAGCGGAGGAAAAGAACCAACCGGGAUUGCCUCAGUAACGGCGAGUGAAGCGGCAAGAGCUCAAAUUUGAAAGCUGGCUCCUUCGGGGUCCGCAUUGUAAUUUGCAGAGGAUGCUUCGGGUGCGGCCCCUGUCUAAGUGCCCUGGAACGGGCCGUCAGAGAGGGUGAGAAUCCCGUCUGGGAUGGGGUGUCCGCGCCCGUGUGAAGCUCCUUCGACGAGUCGAGUUGUUUGGGAAUGCAGCUCUAAAUGGGUGGUAAAUUUCAUCUAAAGCUAAAUACUGGCCGGAGACCGAUAGCGCACAAGUAGAGUGAUCGAAAGAUGAAAAGCACUUUGAAAAGAGAGUUAAAAAGCACGUGAAAUUGUUGAAAGGGAAGCGCUUGCGACCAGACUCGCCUCCAGGGUUCAGCCGGCAUUCGUGCCGGUGUACUUCCCUGGGGGCGGGCCAGCGUCGGUUUGGGCGGCCGGUCAAAGGCUCCCGGAAUGUAGUGCCCUCCGGGGCACCUUAUAGCCGGGAGUGCAAUGCGGCCAGCCUGGACCGAGGAACGCGCUUCGGCACGGACGCUGGCAUAAUGGUCGUAAACGACCCGUCUUGAAACACGGACCAAGGAGUCUAACAUCUACGCGAGUGUUCGGGUGUCAAACCCGUACGCGCAGUGAAAGCGAACGGAGGUGGGAGCCCCCUCGUGGGGCGCACCAUCGACCGAUCCUGAUGUCUUCGGAUGGAUUUGAGUAAGAGCGUAAAUGUGGGGACCCGAAAGAUGGUGAACUAUGCCUGAAUAGGGCGAAGCCAGAGGAAACUCUGGUGGAGGCUCGCAGCGGUUCUGACGUGCAAAUCGAUCGUCAAAUUUGGGUAUAGGGGCGAAAGACUAAUCGAACCAUCUAGUAGCUGGUUCCUGCCGA
rnacentral:rRNA from 1 species